UACGUAGGGGGCGAGCGUUGUCCGGAUUUAUUGGGCGUAAAGAGCGUGUAGGCGGCCAGGUAGGUCUGCUGUGAAAACUCGAGGCUCAACCUCGAGACGUCGGCGGAAACCAUCUGGCUAGAGUCCGGAAGAGGAGAGUGGAAUUCCUGGUGUAGCGGUGAAAUGCGUAGAGAUCGGGAGGAACAUCCGUGGCGAAGGCGACUACCUGGACCAGCACUGACACUGAGGCACGAAAGCGUGGGGAGCAAACAGG
rnacentral:rRNA from 1 species